AUAUGGCCCUCUUUUUUCAAAGGCUUCAUUGAUGGAAUUCAUCUGCAAAUACAUAUGUUUCAUUUUAAAAUGUUUGGUUAGUUUAAGGUAUGUUUAUAAAAUUGUUAAAUUUGAAUACUAACUGGUAUUGUAAUAAAUAAUGAAAUGAGUUAUAUUUUGAAUGAUAACAUUAAGUAAUUAAUGAAUGUAAAUUAAAACGAAAAUGAAUCUGCCCGGUAUUGUUAUUAUUGCAAUCCCUUCCAUUAUGAUCAUUCAAGCGAGAAUUUGUCACUUGGACCUAAUAAAACUGUCACGAUUAGCAUUAACACUCCGGGGUGUCGAUUUGGCGUAUUGCAUUCGGCCCAUGAAAUUGUGUUCAUUUGGGUACAAAUAAGGUUGAAUUAGUGAACGAAGAAUUGUCCAUAUAUAAAGUUAUAAAGAUAUGUAAAUCAUGUUCAAAAUAGCAUUAACCUAAAGCACUCAUUUUAUUCCUAUACUGGUCAGCCUGUAUCUUUUCUUGAAUGUAUGAUUUGAUUUUAUUUCCUAUAAACAUUACAGAAUGAUUACACUAUAAAUAAAACACUAUUGACUUGAAAUUAAACAGUAACAUGUAUUUAUUAUCGCUGACCAACCUGAUGUUUAAUACGGAAAUAAAAUGUUUUCAAAGUCCGUUUAAUGCAUAUAUCUUACAAUAGAUGGAUACAUUUGAUCAUUUGAUACGUAAAGACAUAGUGUAAUUCUACGUCUAUUUUUAAACUUGGAAGUUAAUGAACAAGUCUUGUUGCAAUGCAGUUAAAUACAGACCGACAGGCUAUACAAAGCUGAAGCACACUAAUUUCACGUUUAGAUGGCAAUAACAAUACUCACUUUACACAUAGACGUUGAAGUCAGUCGCUUGCAUAGACCUUGUUUUGUUCUGUAAACCUUCGUGACAGCGUGUGUAGGACUCCUGUCAAUAGGAAGAAUUUUAGCUGAACAAAAAUAAUAACAGCAACAAAAUUUCUAAUUUCCUACAAAACAAGAUUUUUAUAGCUCGAUAACUGACCGAAAAUUUUUUUCAUCUGUAUAUGCUUCUACAUAUCAUUUUCAAAAGAUCAGAACAAAAUACCAAAAUCAGCGAAAUAAAAAAAAAAGAACAAACUAAAUUCGUUCGAAAAUUCGUUCGAAAAUUCUAUUGUAAGUAGUCACUCACCGAAACUCGCCGGCCGAUGAUUGGAAGAUGCUUGGAACGAUGUGUAUUCAUAAAUCAUUUGAAACAUAUCAAUCAAAUUCCUUGAAUCGCAUAGUAAGGAACUUGCGAAUUAUGUAUGAAAGUCAAUUAUUUUGACUAGCUAGCCGCGUCUAUAUCCCACUUGUUGUUUUUCUAGCAAAAAUUGACAGAUCCCAGCGCUAAGUAUUAUCGAAUGGCAAUGUUUUGUUUGAUAGACAGGUCAAAUCGAUGUAUUGAAAGAUGAAUGGAACGUGUUUCAUUCAUUCAUUCAUUAUUCAUAACAGGUCUGUUUGAACUUUAUAGAAAAUGCGUGGUGCGUUGUCAUUGUGUUUUAUUAUUUAACAAUGCCGUGUUAAAUAUUGUAGAGUUACAGUUGAAUAAUAAAUUUUACAUCAUGAAUCAAUCGCCUUGGGGCACUACUUGACACGCGUAGUAUGAAACGCACGUUUUUAUCUGGCCGUGCACUUCCGUCAAACACUGGUUCCAGGACGCUUCUGUUUGAGGCAUGAAGCCGGGGACCAAAUGGUGCAUGCCUGUCGAAAAGUAGCAUGAUACCUAUGAACGGCACUGCUUUGGCAGUACCGUCCAAAAACUACUUACAUGGCAGUUAAUGAUAAAAAAAGCUUUUUUAGCAAUUAUCGCUCAGAUAAAUACAUGCCCAGAUGUUAUUGAAGUAUUAACGUUUGUUCUGAAUAAUUCUUUUCUAAAAUUUGGUACAUGUUAUAUAAACAAACUAUAGGCAUUUCAAUGGGUGCUAAUAAUGCGGUUUUACUUGCUGUCCUCUUUUUAUACUGCUAUGUAAGUGAAUAUAUGUUCAAAAUAUCUAAGUCUUGAGAUCUUGCCCUUGAAGAUAAAUUCAAUAAUACUUUAAGAUAUAUUCCCAGCAAACAUGACCAUAUCGGACCGAUGUCGGCUGAAUAUCGGCAUAUCGGCCAGUGUUUGCCGAUAUCGGCCCGACAUCGGCCCGAUAUGGGCAUAUUGACUGAAACAUUGUAUUUGUAAUAAUACUAUAUGAUUUUAUUUCGAAUGUUUAAACAUUAUAACAUAAACAAUAGCUUUUGUUUUUUUAACAUUUUAUAAAUAUCGCGAUAUCGGUCCGAUAUUGGCCCGAUGUAUACUCUGUAUUGCUUCAAGGGAGAGCAAUGCAUAUGCUGCAACUUUCACUAGCAGUUCAUUCCCCUGGCAAUUAAUAAAUAUUUAAAUUCAUUACCAUUAAAUAAUAAAAACAAUUUAAGUUUAUAUGGUUAUUUUUAAUUAAUUCUGUAAUUAAUAGAUUCAGUUCAUGUUUAUUUGAUUUUUAUCUACGAAAUUAUUUUGUUUUAUAUUCACUGCGGUAUUUGUGCCAUUUCAACAAGAUGAUGCAAGUAAAAUCAUACUUUUGGUAUUAAUCAAUGUAUCGUAUAUUGUGGAAAGAUCGAUCAAAGUUGCAGAGAGCGGACAACUGCAAAUCGAGACACUGAAAUAGAGGAAUAAAGGCAAUCAUAGGAGAGAGGAAGCGAGUUUAAUCAGAUGAGGAUGAAUAAAUGUCAGUGACAACACCACCAAGGCAUUCGAAGGUGACAGUGGCUAUGGCAGGACUGUUCUGCAGGCAUCACAACAGUUACUAUAAGAUCCCCAAACAGUUGCACCAUCUCUACAGAGGGUGUCGCGAAAUUCCGUCGUUUCUCACAACAGAGGUGCGAGCGAAAAAUGCCGCCUGGUUGAAGACAGCAUCGGAAAGAGAUGGUGGAAGGGAAAUGAGGCAGACCCAAAUAUCUGAGUGCAUCCUUGGAACACUGGGAUGAAAAAACAAAACAAUAUUAUGUUAAAAACGCUUAAUGUUUAAUGCAGUAGCGUGAUUUUGAUAAACUGUUCAGGGGUAUUAUCCACAUCCUGUGAUAAUUC